rnacentral:rRNA from 1 species
AUACCGUGAAACUGCGAAUGGCUCAUUAAAUCAGUUAUCGUUUAUUUGAUAGUACCUUACUACUUGGAUACCCGUGGUAAUUCUAGAGCUAAUACAUGCUGAAAACCCCGACUUCGGAAGGGGUGUAUUUAUUAGAUAAAAAACCAAUGCCCUUCGGGGCUACUUGGUGAUUCAUAAUAACUUAACGGAUCGCAUGGCCUUGCGCCGGCGACGGUUCAUUCAAAUUUCUGCCCUAUCAACUUUCGAUGGUAAGGUAUUGGCUUACCAUGGUUUCAACGGGUAACGGGGAAUAAGGGUUCUAUUCCGGAGAGGGAGCCUGAGAAACGGCUACCACAUCCAAGGAAGGCAGCAGGCGCGCAAAUUACCCAAUCCCGACACGGGGAGGUAGUGACAAUAAAUACUGAUACAGGGCUCUUUUGGGUCUUGUAAUUGGAAUGAGUACAAUUUAAAUCCCUUAACGAGGAACAAUUGGAGGGCAAGUCUGGUGCCAGCAGCCGCGGUAAUUCCAGCUCCAAUAGCGUAUAUUAAAGUUGUUGCAGUUAAAAAGCUCGUAGUUGAACCUUGGGCCUGGCUGGCCGGUCCGCCUCACCGCGUGUACUGGUCCGGCCGGGCCUUUCCUUCUGGAGAGCCCCAUGCCCUUCACUGGGUGUGCGGGGGAACCAGGACUUUUACUUUGAAAAAAUUAGAGUGUUCAAAGCAGGCCUUUGCUCGAAUACGUUAGCAUGGAAUAAUAGAAUAGGACGUGUGGUUCUAUUUUGUUGGUUUCUAGAACCGCCGUAAUGAUUAAUAGGGAUAGUCGGGGGCAUCAGUAUUCAAUUGUCAGAGGUGAAAUUCUUAGAUUUAUUGAAGACUAACUACUGCGAAAGCAUUUGCCAAGGAUGUUUUCAUUAAUCAGUGAACGAAAGUCAGGGGAUCGAAGACGAUCAGAUACCGUCGUAGUCUUGACCGUAAACUAUGCCGACUAGGGAUCGGGCGGUGUUUCUAUCUUGACCCGCCUCGGCACCUUA